UACGGAGGGUGCAAGCGUUGUUCGGAAUUAUUGGGUGUAAAGAGCGUGUAGGCGGUCCUGCAAGUCAGGUGUGAAAGCCCGGGGCUUAACCCCUGAACUGCGCCUGAAACUGCAGAACUUGAGUACGGGAGAGGUAGGUGGAAUUCCUGGUGUAGAGGUGAAAUUCGUAGAGAUCAGGAGGAACACCAGUGGCGAAGGCGACCUACUGGACCGAUACUGACGCUGAGACGCGAAAGCGUGGGGAGCAAACAGG
rnacentral:rRNA from 1 species